UCUCCGUUGGUGAACCAGCGGAGGGAUCAUUACAGGACUCGCAAGACUCCUACAACCCUGUGAACUUAACUAUAAGCACGUUGCUUCGGCGGGUGUCUCGGAGGGGGUUCUCCCUCCCCGAGACGCUAAACCCGCCGGCAGCCUACUAUACACUGUCUCUUUGCGUUGGCAUCUCGAGUACAAUCAAACAAGUUAAAACUUUCAACAACGGAUCUCUUGGUUCUG
rnacentral:misc_RNA from 1 species